rnacentral:rRNA from 1 species
GAGUUUGAUCCUGGCUCAGGAUGAACGCUGGCGGCGUGCCUAAUACAUGCAAGUCGAGCGAACGGACGAGAAGCUUGCUUCUCUGAUGUUAGCGGCGGACGGGUGAGUAACACGUGGAUAACCUACCUAUAAGACUGGGAUAACUUCGGGAAACCGGAGCUAAUACCGGAUAAUAUUUUGAACCGCAUGGUUCAAAAGUGAAAGACGGUCUUGCUGUCACUUAUAGAUGGAUCCGCGCUGCAUUAGCUAGUUGGUAAGGUAACGGCUUACCAAGGCAACGAUGCAUAGCCGACCUGAGAGGGUGAUCGGCCACACUGGAACUGAGACACGGUCCAGACUCCUACGGGAGGCAGCAGUAGGGGAUCUUCCGCAAUGGGCGAAAGCCUGACGGAGCAACGCCGCGUGAGUGAUGAAGGUCUUCGGAUCGUAAAACUCUGUUAUUAGGGAAGAACAUAUGUGUAAGUAACUGUGCACAUCUUGACGGUACCUAAUCAGAAAGCCACGGCUAACUACGUGCCAGCAGCCGCGGUAAUACGUAGGUGGCAAGCGUUAUCCGGAAUUAUUGGGCGUAAAGCGCGCGUAGGCGGUUUUUUAAGUCUGAUGUGAAAGCCCACGGCUCAACCGUGGAGGGUCAUUGGAAACUGGAAACUUGAGUGCAGAAGAGGAAAGUGGAAUUCCAUGUGUAGCGGUGAAAUGCGCAGAGAUAUGGAGGAACACCAGUGGCGAAGGCGACUUUCUGGUCUGUAACUGACGCUGAUGUGCGAAAGCGUGGGGAUCAAACAGGAUUAGAUACCCUGGUAGUCCACGCCGUAAACGAUGAGUGCUAAGUGUUAGGGGGUUUCCGCCCCUUAGUGCUGCAGCUAACGCAUUAAGCACUCCGCCUGGGGAGUACGACCGCAAGGUUGAAACUCAAAGGAAUUGACGGGGACCCGCACAAGCGGUGGAGCAUGUGGUUUAAUUCGAAGCAACGCGAAGAACCUUACCAAAUCUUGACAUCCUUUGACAACUCUAGAGAUAGAGCCUUCCCCUUCGGGGGACAAAGUGACAGGUGGUGCAUGGUUGUCGUCAGCUCGUGUCGUGAGAUGUUGGGUUAAGUCCCGCAACGAGCGCAACCCUUAAGCUUAGUUGCCAUCAUUAAGUUGGGCACUCUAAGUUGACUGCCGGUGACAAACCGGAGGAAGGUGGGGAUGACGUCAAAUCAUCAUGCCCCUUAUGAUUUGGGCUACACACGUGCUACAAUGGACAAUACAAAGGGCAGCGAAACCGCGAGGUCAAGCAAAUCCCAUAAAGUUGUUCUCAGUUCGGAUUGUAGUCUGCAACUCGACUACAUGAAGCUGGAAUCGCUAGUAAUCGUAGAUCAGCAUGCUACGGUGAAUACGUUCCCGGGUCUUGUACACACCGCCCGUCACACCACGAGAGUUUGUAACACCCGAAGCCGGUGGAGUAACCUUUUAGGAGCUAGCCGUCGAAGGUGGGACAAAUGAUUGGGGUGAAGUCGUAACAAGGUAGCCGUAUCGGAAGGUGCGGCUGGAUCACC